rnacentral:tRNA from 1 species
GGAUAGAUGGUCGAGUGGUCUAAGGCACACGCUUGGAAAGCGUGCAGGGUAUAAAAGCCCUCGGAGGUUCAAAUCCUCUUCUAUCCGCCA